rnacentral:rRNA from 1 species
GAUGAACGCUCGCGAUAGGCUUAACACAUGCAAGUCGAGGGGCAGCAUGGUCUUAGCUUGCUAAGACUGAUGGCGACCGGCGCACGGGUGCGUAACGCGUAUGCAACUUGCCUCACAGAGGGGGAUAACCCGUCGAAAGACGGACUAAUACCGCGUACACUCUAUUUUGGGCAUCCAAGGUAGAGGAAAUGAAAUUCGCUGUGAGAUAGGCAUGCGUCCCAUUAGCUAGUUGGUGAGGUAACGGCUCACCAAGGCGACGAUGGGUAGGGGAACUGAGAGGUUGAACCCCCACACUGGUACUGAGACACGGACCAGACUCCUACGGGAGGCAGCAGUGAGGAAUAUUGGUCAAUGGGCGAGAGCCUGAACCAGCCAAGUCGCGUGAAGGAUGACUGUCUUAUGGAUUGUAAACUUCUUUUGUAGGGGAAUAAAGAGGGGCACGUGUGCCCCAGUGAAUGUACCCUACGAAUAAGCAUCGGCUAACUCCGUG